CUACAUGUGGCGGAAUAGGCAGACGCAACAAGUUGCCAACUUGUCGGUCAUAUGGCCGUGGGGGUUCGAAUCCCCUCGUGUGAU
rnacentral:tRNA from 2 species